GACGAACGCUGGCGGCGUGCUUAACACAUGCAAGUCGAGCGGAAAGGCCCUUCGGGGUACUCGAGCGGCGAACGGGUGAGUAACACGUAAGUAACCUGCCCCAGACUUUGGGAUAACCCUCGGAAACGGGGGCUAAUACCGGAUACGACACAGCUCCGCAUGGGGUCGGUGUGGAAAGUUUUUCGGUUUGGGAUGGGCUCGCGGCCUAUCAGCUUGUUGGUGGGGUGAUGGCCUACCAAGGCGACGACGGGUAGCCGGCCUGAGAGGGCGACCGGCCACACUGGGACUGAGACACGGCCCAGACUCCUACGGGAGGCAGCAGUGGGGAAUAUUGCACAAUGGGCGGAAGCCUGAUGCAGCGACGCCGCGUGAGGGAUGACGGCCUUCGGGUUGUAAACCUCUUUCAGCAGGGACGAAGCGUAAGUGACGGUACCUGCAGAAGAAGCGCCGGCCAACUACGUG
rnacentral:rRNA from 1 species